UCCAGCCCCGUUUUUGCACCUCUCCUCAGCAGCGGCAGCAGGCCAGGGAAACAGUGGUGGUGGCAAGUGUGUGUGUACGGUGUGACUGUGGCAUUACACAGUGUAAUCCUCUCCCUCUCAGCUCUGCACAAGCUGGGUAAGGAGUUGACACACGGGUUCUGUGCUCCGUGCUGAGCUCACCUACCCCAAACCCAGCAUCUCCUCAGCACAAGGGCAGCACUGUCCUCCGCCACCGCCACACAAGGGCUCGGAGCUGGGGCAGAAGCUGGCAGCUCUGUGGCAUCCUGUCACGCCUGCAGCCUCUGCUAAGAGCCGCCAGAGCCACUGAUGGAGGAGCUGUGGCGGAAAGCCAAGCGGCUGUCCAAGCUUGCCUCGGGGCCUCGCCUGCUGUCUGCACGCCUCACUCUGCCGCCCUGACAUGGGAUGUGCUGCAGCCUGAGCAGCACCCAACUCUCCGGCCAAUCUGUCUGUGGCGCACGUAAGGAAUAAUUAAUCCUGAACGAUUUCUCCCUUUUCGUCUGUUUACUUAACAGAAUUUUUUUCUUCCUUGUUGGGAAGCCAUCAGUCAGUCUCUCCCUCCCUGUUUUUCACAUGUGCAUAUUUGUUUUGAAUUUUGCUUGAACAGUCGCUGAAGUGUACAAAA